GCUUUUAGUGCAAUCAGCAUGAGGACUUAGCACCGCUAAUACUUAAGAGUGUGUCAUAUCCAAAAAUAGAUUUACAAGAGAACAGGUUUAAUUCCGCACUGGUCAAGAACCAAGAACUGUAAAGAACCAAUCAUAAUAUAGACCAAGAAUUGUCUGGUGUGCACAGACAUUGCCACUACACAAAAAGACUUAUGCAUUAGACAGAAGAUGACUUUCCUGCAUGUACCCACACAUUAAAUAAAGACACAAAAAGUGGCUCUCCCUAAUCUUAUUUCAAUGAGGAAUAGAACAGGUGAAUUAAAAGGGAUGCGUUAAACUGUACAUAUCAGUGCACCUAUAUACAUGUGUCCGCCUCUAUGAACAUCUGUGUUGGUAUCGCUUGGGAGUGGAGUACACAUGCACCUUGACGCAACCAGAGUGGACCAUUUUCAGUGGAUGCAGCAACACAUUUCAAUAGUCAUGCUUCCAUUUAAAUGCACCAGAAAGAGCAUAAGUAAGUAAAAUGAGCUCUGUAACUUAUUCAAAUGUCUUUUAUUUUAGCUUAUGUGUAUAUGUAACUGUAAUAUGACUCCUGGGCUAUUCUCUAUUGCUAAUCUUUUAAUCUAGUGCCUGGUACUCAGAGUGGAAUCUUUGGUCAACCAUACAAAUAACACAGUACCUGUGUGGAAUGCAGGAUCCUCCAGAGAGAUCACACUCUAGAACAGUGCCGCGUGAACCUUUUACUAGAUGGGUCCCCAAUUAUCAGAGGGUGUCUUAUGAGACCUCAAAACAGACAGUUUGCAUUAAAAAUACUGCAUAUUGUUAUAUUGGGGACCAAAAACAAAGAUUUGGGACCCAUAAUGAGUGGUCAAACCAUAGGUUGCACCCCCCCCCCUCAAUUAUCAAGAUUCUGUAUACACGAAAGUCGCUUCACACAAUGAAAUUAUUUGUUGCAUUGUAUUCCUGAAUGCAAAGGUCUGUAGUAUACGUUUGACUUAUUAAAUUAACAAAAGAA